UUUAUAAUGCUUUUUUAUUGGCAUUUAGAUCAAAUAUGGAGAGAAAAUGGGAGGAGAUCUUUAACCUUCUUUCUGAAGGUUCCUACCCAUCAAAAUUYACAAGGGGGCAAAGGCAAAGUCUCAGGAAGUUUGCCUCAAAAUUUAGCAUUCAUGCUGGGAACCUGUUCUUUGGAGCCUUGCUUCACAGGAGGGCCAUAAAAUGAAGAGAGGAGAUAUGGAACCUUUUCAAGGAACUUCAUGCUUCACCAAUGGGAGGACACACUGGAAUUGUGAAAACUCUCAACUCCAUGUGUUCCAGAUUUUAUUGGCCUGGCAUGACAGCAGACAUAGAAAAAUGGGUGUCUGAACGUGACAAGUGCCAAAGGGUUGGACCACCACUGAGAAUAGAGAAGACACUGGAUUGCAUCAAGGUGUCAUGUGUGUGGGAAUUGGUCGGAAUCGACCUGACAG